GCGAUGCACUUUAAUCAGAAACUCGAGUGGCUAAUUACGCUAGCAGCUAGCACUUGAAUGUUGCCGGAGACGAUACUGGUUAGCUGCAGUACCAUAUGCCGGGUUCAUAUGAUGGGGGUCUGGAUUACGACCUUCGUCCCUGAAAAUCAGAGGGAAAUGAUGCUGUGUGGAGGGGUUAAUUACUAUAUGCUGAACUAUAUAUGUGGAACACUAGAAAUAGAGCAUGUUUGGAUUUAGAGAAUACUGAGGAUCCCACAUU
rnacentral:lncRNA from 1 species